UGGGGAAUAUUGCACAAUGGGCGAAAGCCUGAUGCAGCGACGCCGCGUGAGGGAUGAAGGCCUUCGGGUUGUAAACCUCUUUCAGCAGGGAAGAAGCGCAAGUGACGGUACCUGCAGAAGAAGCGCCGGCUAACUACGUGCCAGCAGCCGCGGUAAUACGUAGGGCGCAAGCGUUGUCCGGGAUUAUUGGGCGUAAAGAGCUCGUAGGCGGUUUGUCGCGUCUGGUGUGAAAACUCGAGGCUCAACCUCGAGCUUGCAUCGGGUACGGGCAGACUAGAGUGCGGUAGGGGAGACUGGAAUUCCUGGUGUAGCGGUGGAAUGCGCAGAUAUCAGGAGGAACACCGAUGGCGAAGGCAGGUCUCUGGGCCGCAACUGACGCUGAGGAGCGAAAGCAUGGGGAGCGAACA
rnacentral:rRNA from 1 species